CAACCCAGCAAAAUCUUAUAAAAACGAACCAGGUAGCCCAAAAAUGCCCACCUGUCUCUCUAUGUACAGUAAUACAAUAUUUGUCAGUCACUAUAUACAAUAUUAUAAAAAAUGCCGCAGACAGUACAAAUUAAGGCCCUUAUUUCUCACAAGGCAUCACAAGCCUCGAUCCUCUAGUGUAGACCCGGUGGGAGAGAAGAUGCCACUUAAAUUAUUGCACCAUUUUGAAAAACAAAACUCGUCAAGGAGGAUCGUGGUCUUUUCCCACCGGGCCUUCAGUCACAGACGGGGGCUGGGGUGGUGGCGUCGUCGUCGUCGUCAUCGAGGGAGACCCUCUGUAGCCACGCUGUGCCCGGCCCGGUUCUCUGGGUCCAAUAAAUACCAGUCACAGUUUGGGAGGGGGCCGCGCCCGGCGCGUGGGACCCGCCACGGCCGCGCGCAGGUGGGCGGGGGCGUCCCGGCUACAUGUGCCGUUUCAUGUGCAGCGCCAGGUGAUCGGAGCGCGAGAAGGCACGAUCGCACAGAUGGCACUGGAAUGGCCGGUGGCCCGUGUGCUUUCGGUAGUGGCGCGUGAGCUCGUCUGAGCGCGCAAACUUCCAGCCGCAGCCGUCCCAGUUGCAGUGGUAGGGCUUCUCACCUGCAGGGAGGGGGCGAGAGUAAGCGUCAGUUCCCCUCCCAGGACAGGGCACGUAUGGCUACCCCGGCGAGCGCAACCUAUCCCUAACCAGGGCCUUGACGCGCUCCCCGCGGUAGUGUUGCGCCCCUGAGGGAUCCUUGCCCUACAUCCCCAACUCCCCCCACAAUCCGGAUCCUCACCCCCAGGGGGUCGGAGGAGCGCAAGGUCCACUCCCCACUGUUGUCAGCCACGCUCCCCGACGGGUCCUAAGCAUGCACCCUCUCUCCAGCAUUCUAAGACACGGAAUCUCUCAAGGUUUCCCAGCGAACACUCCCUCCCCAAGGUCCUGAGCCUUGUCCCCAGAGGAGUCCCAAGCCUGAGCGCCCUCCCCAACUUCCUGAGACGCAGCAUCUCCCCGGGGUUCCUAAACGCGCACCUACUCCCCAACUACCUGAGCCUCAGCCCCGGGGAUUCUGAGCCAAGUGCCCAGCGGCUCCUAAACCUGCUCCCCCUCCCCAACUUUCUGAGACUGUCUCCCUAGCCACGCCUCCAGGAGGUUUUCUAAGUGCUCUUCCCAACCUCCGGAGGCCCCCCUCGUCCUAAGCGUGCAAGCCCCCACCCCAACCUCUCGGAUCACACUUCCUUAGGGAGUGUUCCUGUGUGCCCCCCCAACCAACCUCCCGAGCCACGCCUCCUGGGGAGUCCUAAGCGUGCACCACCUGCCAGAUCCCCCUGAGCCACGCCCCAAGGGAGGUCCUAAAUUCAUUUUCUGGCGCGCGCUGGGAAUCCGACCUCUCCUCCCGCGUCCCCCCGCCUGCGCUCCUGGCUCGUGCGUGCCGCCCACCUGUGUGCGUGCGCAGAUGCGCCUUCAGAUGCGAACUCUUGGUGUAGGUCUUGCCGCAGCCCGCGUAGCUGCAGGUGUGAGUGGCGGUGCGUUUGCGGGGCCAAGAGCGGCGGCCGCGCUUUGGCUUGGCCUCCAGCAGCUCCAGCGGGGACGCAGGCGGCGGGGGCGGCGGCGGCGGCUCCGGGGCGGCCUCGGCGCCCAGGCCAUCCAGCCCCAUGGACAGGAUGAAGUCCAGCACGCUGUUGAGGUCGUCGUCGGUGCCGCCGGACUCGGGUUCGGCGCGCGGCCAGCGCUGCGGGCGACAGGGCAAUGGGCGUGAGCGGGCGGCGGGGCUCGGGGGGCGCUGCUUGCCUUUUACCACCCUAAGUCCGCGAUCCCCGUGGCCCGCAUCCUCCUCUCCUGAGUCUGCAGUCCCCGCCUUCGCGUCCUGUCACCCCGCAGCCCACGUUCUACUACCCCGAGCCCGCCGCCCACGGUCCCGGCCGCCCCGCCGUCCCCGCCGCCCUCACCUCCUGCAGGCCGCGCUCGCGGCACGGGCUGGCGAAAGUGGAGAAGGACGGCAGGAUGGGUUCACUCAGCGCCAUGGCCGGGACCCGGGGAGAAAGGACGCGGACGGGGACACCGGUGAGUGGCUGCCCGAGGCCGGGCUGGUCGGGGCGCGGGCGGGCGGGGAC
rnacentral:lncRNA from 1 species